AGGGCCAGCCUACACUAUCUCGAAUUGCUGCUGUGAAAGGCCUCGGUGCUCUUUAUUCCAGUGGUGGUGGAGUGUUUCAGGUUGACUCUGGAACUUCAGUUGGGGAGCCUACUGUUGGCUUGACAGAACUUCUGACUACAUUAGCACAGUUUCUAAAAACAUCCCGUGAUAUUGGUCUUCUAAACAGUUGUUCAUGGAUAGUUGGGGAAAUAUUUAAUGUUCAGGCUGGCAAGAGCCAAUCGUCAUCUUCAGUGCCAUCUGACUAUUCCUAUCUUCCUGCCAAAAGUGUUCUGCGUCCACUUGUAGGAUUGCUUGCAGGAUGGCAUAAGUCAGGUAUAAAUAUCUGUCAAUCACAUGUGUUUACGUCUCUACAUGCUCUUAAUCAAAAGUUUUCUCGCCCUCUUCCGCCCAUAAAUUGGUCGUCUGUACUAGCUCCAUUUCUUCGUAUGAAAAAUGGUAAGUG